rnacentral:lncRNA from 10 species
UAUGUGUUUGUAUGUUUCUUAAUCCCAUCUACUAGGUGAUUACAAAACUCAUUCAAAGUUGAACACAGUAGAGGUAUUUCAAGUUGCUUUAGAGAGAGAAUUACACACACACAAAAAAUCUUUAGGAGCCAGACAACCACUGUGGACACCAAUAAGAGAGCUCCAACAUUGGUGAGGUAUAGACCCGUCAAAGUUGUUGGUAAUAACAGCAAGGUCCAUCUGGCAAGAUUGGUCACCUGUGGUGGAAGUGGUGGUGACAGCAGGGAUGCAACUGCAGCAAUCAAUGAUGAUGAUCUCACUAGGGUGGGGAGGUGUUAAAGGCAUCUUCACAGCAGCACAGUGCCCAGAAUGCCAAAGAGCAGCAGGAUGGAUCCAGCAUCCUCUCCUGAUAAAAGAGGGCUAGAAGACGGGAGGCUCCGGGAAGUCUACUGGAGUCAUGAAGACACUGAAAAGUGAUGAAUCCACAUAACCAUGACACUGGAAAUGAAGUUUGAGUGGCAGUCAGAAUCUGGGAGGAAGCAUUGCUAAGUGAAAAUCUUAUGGAGCUUGACUAAAAAUCCCUGUCAGGAACCGUCAAAAGCUGUGUCCCUGACAUGAAAAAUCUUGCUGGAAGUUGAGAGAGGUUUAUGCCUACUCCGUGAUCCGGGAACACAAGACCUUUACCAACCAAAAAAGUGGAUAGCUGUUCUUCUGCUGUGAAGGUUAAUAAAGGCUAAAAGUUCAAGAAUAAGGCACCAGCAAGUUCAGUGUCUAGAAAGGACCCAGCGUUUGCUUCGAAGAUGGCGCCUUUCUGCUGCAUUCUCUGAAGAGGAUGGAUGCUGUGUCCUCACAUUGCAGAAGUCAGAAGGGGAAAAAGGGCCUAAGCUAGUUCCCUGUAGCCUUUUUGCAAGAACGCCAGAAGUGCCAAGCAAUUAACAACCCCAGAAGCAACCCUUAACCAAUGAUUAAAUAAAGUGGAUGAUUACAUACCCAAGCUCCUUCAACUCCCAGGGACAUAAUUCUGAGGUGGGUGUAUGUUUAUCCCUUUUUCAAGAACUUCCCCGAAGGAUUAAGCUUCAGUCACCCACUGGGAUGGAAAACAAACUGAAACUGGCUCAAGUGAAUGCUCACUGGAAGGCUUACUGGAAAACUUACUGGAAGGAUGUGAGGACAUGUUCGGGAAUCUAUUUGCAGAAAACAUAUUCAGCCCUGUCCACCACAGCCAGCUGGCUGAAGAGCUCAAAAGGCAAGAAAUCAGCAAGAGAGAGAGAUGAAGCAUGAGAAAUGAGCAAAAAACACCCAGCACAUCAUAAUCUUGGACAGUUUAGCAGUACAUGAAAAUAGAUGGUCCUCGCCCCAAGGGACUGCAGUAACCCUGAAUAAACAGGAUGUCUCUCACUUUUAGCAGUUCUUUCUGUGCUAGUAUUGGGGAAAUAUAUUUUUGGCUGCAUGCAAAAUGGUAAAAGACAUCUAUUAAGAAAAUGAAAACAAUGCUUCUGUUUUAGACGAAGCUUUUGAAGGUUUAAGGAUCACCUAUUUAUUGACAAAAUUGUUUCCGUGGCUUAAAAAUAAAAUACAAACAAAUACUACAGGUAUUCUUGCCUUCUCAUUCUACUUAAAAUCACAUUUCCAAAGACUUUCUUCUCUACUUAAAAACAGGAAUUAAGAAAUACUCAAAAGAGAUCCUAGACAAAACUAACAUUUCAGCAACCAAAGAUAAAUCAUGCUUUUAGAGGAAGAUGCUAGGUUCUAGAAUCUCUCUGAACACCGUGUAGCACUAAGAAACUACAAUCACUGGCUGAGACCUUGAUCAAAUAAUGGCUAACAUAUAAGAUGCUUAUUCUAGUCAGGCACACUUCUAAGAGCUGUAUAUCUGCUAAUUCAUUUAUUCUCCUAGGAUAUAAAGGAUCAGCAGAUCCUUCAGGCUCUGGUAUGUUCUGAGAUGAGUUAACCCAGAAAUUGUCAUCAAAAGACAGAUUCAGCAAAACGGAAA